GGAGAAAGAUGGCGACAGCCGAGAAGCAGAAACACGACGGGCGGGUGAAGAUCGGCCACUACAUUCUGGGUGACACGCUGGGGGUUGGCACCUUCGGCAAAGUGAAGGUUGGCAAACAUGAAUUGACUGGGCAUAAAGUAGCUGUGAAGAUACUCAAUCGACAGAAGAUUCGGAGCCUUGAUGUGGUAGGAAAAAUCCGCAGAGAAAUUCAGAACCUCAAGCUUUUCAGGCAUCCUCAUAUAAUUAAACUGGUUUUGAAAAGUUUCUUCCUAGGCUGUGUGCGGUGGCUCACACCUGUAAUUCCAGUACUUUGGGAGGCUGAGGCAGGCAGAUCACCUGAGGUCAGGAGUUCGAGACCAGCCUGGCCAACAUGGUGAAACCCUGUCUCCAGUAAAAAUACAAAAAUUAGCUGGGCAUGGUGGUGG
rnacentral:sRNA from 1 species